GGGAAUUGCAGUUGCACCAGAUCAAAGCCACCAGCUCUACAGAGGGAGCCGAUUCCUCACUUUGCUGAGGCAAAAUGAUAAAAAAAAUGUUCCUGCCUGAGUUAAAACUGUGAGGGGUAAGGCAGAAACCCAGUCUCCAUAGGAUUACAGCCAAAUAUGUGCAACAUCAGAGUACACCUGGAAGUCAUUAAGACCUGCACUUCAAAUCUUCCUGC
rnacentral:lncRNA from 1 species